UACGUAGGCAGCAAGCGUUGCUCGGAGUUACUGGGCGUAAAGGGUGCGUAGGCGGUCCUAUAAGUAUGGUGUGAAAUCUCCCGGCUUAACUGGGAGGGUGCGCUAUAGACUGUGGGACUAGAGUGUGGGAGAGGAAAGUGGAAUUCCUGGUGUAGCGGUGAAAUGCGUAGAUAUCAGGAGGAACACCGGUGGUGUAAACGGCUUUCUGGACCAUAACUGACGCUGAGGCACGAAAGCGUGGGUAGCAAACAGG
rnacentral:rRNA from 1 species